AAGGCAUAGUGAUGGCAUUUCUUAAGCAUGUCCUUGAAUCGAUCCUAACUCUCAUAAAUAAAUUCUUUAUCUAACUGAGUAAAAAAAGUAAUAUUAUUUAUAAGCUU